rnacentral:piRNA from 1 species
UGGGCAGUUGGAGAAGGAUGCUUGCGG